AGACUCCCUUUGCCUACCUCUUCCUCUCUGACCCCAUCCUCGCUUUGAUGCCCGGGACCUGCUACCCAGAGUCUUUCCCGCUCUAGGUGACUGGGUGCUAAGGAGGAAAGUUCUUCAGUGAGUCUUAUAAAGCGGCACCAAAACGCGGUAUUUAUAGUGACAUAAUCAGCCCUAAUGGAGAUGGAAUUACCCCAUAAAGGCCCCAAGGAGCCCUCAGGGCCUCAGCGCCACUGCAGCAGACAAGGCUCCUGUACAGGCAGGUGGAGCCCGAGUGAGUGUGUGUUUGUGUGUGACUGCCUCUCCUGCCAAUCCCUGCCUCCGGCCCACCAGCCUGCUUAGGGGCCCACCUUUGCUAGGACUUAGCUGGGGCUGGGUACUGGGGGCAAGGAGAUGACAAAGGUGAAUGCUGAAGCCAUGGCCUCACUUACCCCACCUUUGAUCUGUGCCUGCCUUUGGCCAAGAGCAUCAGAAAAAAAAUAAUGCGGCCUGGGCAAUACAGUGAGACCCCAUCUCUACAAAAGAAAAAAGAAAAAAAAUUAGCUGGGCAUGGUGGUGAGCACCCGUGGCCUCAGCUACUCGGGCGGCUGAGGAAGGAGGAUUGCUUGAGCCUAGGAGGUCAAGGCUGCAAUGAGCCGUGAUUGCACCACUGCACUCCAGCCUAGGCAACCAAGUGAGACCCUGUUUCAAAACAAAAUUUUUUUAAAAAAAGAAAAGCAAAGAAAAAAACUGUAGCCAAUACUUAUGAAGCACUACUAUGUGCCGGGCCCAGUUCUAGGCACUUAUCUGUACUGAUCCACUUAGUUCUCAUGACACCUUCAGGGAGGUGGCCACUGCUCCUGCCCACAUUUUGCAGAAGAGCAAAUUUGGAAGUAAAAUUUGGAGCUGGCAUUCUGGCCCAGACAGGCUAGAUCCAGCGCGCACUCUCAUGGGUACCUGCCUCAACCAUUGCCUCUGAAUUCCACUGAACCUGGAGAGCAGUGCCCCGUCCUGGAAUGUGCCAACUCUCCGCAGCUGGGAUCUUUAAGAAACAACGUGAGGCUCAGAGAGAAGAAAUGACUAAAAUUACACAGCUGGUACAUGGCAGAGGUGGAACUAAAAAGUUAAGUGUGUCUACCCCAGAGCCGAGUAGACCUGCUCUUUUUUGAACACUUCCUGGACUUUCAUGCCUUUGUCCCAGCUGUGCCCUCUCCCUGGAUGCCCCUUCCAUCUGGGCAGCUCCUACUAGACCUGCCUUGGCAUACAUAACACAGGAGAACGGAUUGCCAAAGGGUAGGAGAGUGCCUGGUCUAUAGUGUGCGCCCAACACAGAUUUGGUGAAUGAAUGAACACUGGGUCCAGCAGACCUGGAUUCUUCCAUGUAACCCACUGUGUGGCCUUGGUGGAGCCAUGCGGGUGCAAUAAUCCUGGUUUCCACCCUUCAGGGCUGCUGCUGGGACUCAGUGAGAUCAUCAUGUAUCUAAUGCCCUUUGCUCAGUGCUGGGCACACAGUCAAUGCGCAUUGAAUCUUAGCUAUUGCUACCUUUACAAUCAAUCAAAAGUCACUUCUGAAGAAUAGACAGGGCUCCCCCAGGCCAAAUAAAUAAUUCCUCCCGGGACAAACCCCAGCUCUCACUCCCUCCUCUUUAGGCAGGGGGCUCCCUGAAGGACAGAGACCCGGUUUUAUUCCAUCUUGCCGUCCCCCAUGGUGCCGGGCAUACAGUGGUGCCCAGUAAACGUGUGUGUUGCACAAACAUGCGGUAACUAGGGCCCCAUCUUUUUCAAAAGAACACACUCCCCAGGUGCAGCCGCAAAGAGAGACUGUUCAGCUGUUCAGGUGAGGUUUUGGGGUGAAACUCGUCUGAAUAAUAGUUUUACUGAACACAGCCUCACCCCCAACAAGGAGGCAAUUUGAGGUGGGGGUGGGGAGACUUAAAUGUGGGCUCCCGGGUUUUAAAGGGGGUAGCGCGGGAGGAAGCCCCCCAAUAAUUGCGGGGCUUCCCCCACCCCCAGAGCUGGAUUAGAGGCUGCGCCACUUCCUUUGGGGCUCGCUCGCGCUUCCUGGGAGCCUUUGAUGUGGGUUCUUGGUAGAUCCUGCCCGCGGGGCCUGGAUGCGGGCGGAGCCUCCGGGCAGGGCGGGGCCUCAGCCUGGGUCCGCACUGGGGAGGCGGCCACCCGGUAGCUUGGGCGGGUUCCGCCCACCUCCCGCCUGUAUUUACAGCCCCCUUCCAACAUCCCCGACUCCCUGAGGGCGCCCCUCAUUCUGCUCGGCCUUGCCUUCCCCAUUCGGCCACAUCCUCCUCUCUCCCAACUCAGCUUCGACCCCCAAAGCCUUUCCCUAACCAUCGGAACCACAGGCUUUUCUCCGGCCUCUGAGUGCCAGUCUUCAACUAGGUGUCUUUUAAAAAAUCAAAAAGCAUCUCAUCCUACGGGAUGUGUGUGAAAAAAUAAAAAUAAAAUAAAGAAAAAGGGGGCCGGGCGCGGGAGCUCACGCCUGUAAUCCCAGCACUUUGGGAGGCCUAGGCGGGCGGAUCACCUGCAGUCAGGAGUUCGAGACCAGCUUGACCAAACUAGAGAAACUCCGUCUCUACUGAAAAUACGAAAUUAGCCGCGCAUGGUGGCGCAUGUCUGUAAUCCUAGCUACUCUGGAGGCUGAGGCAGGGGAAUCUCUUGAACCUGGGAGGUGGAGGUUGCAGUGAGCCGAGAUAGCGUCAUUGCACUCUUGCCUGGGCAAUAACAAGAGCGAAGCUCCAUCUCCAAAAAAAAAAAAAGAAGAAAGAAAAAAAGAAAAAGAUAGCCCAUCGCUCCUCCAUUGCAGACCCAAAGGCUGUCAGCUGAAUGGAAGGUGCUUCCUCACGACCUUUGGGAUAAGUAAAUUUGAAGUAAUAGAAAUAGCCAGCUGGGCGCGGUGGCUCAUGCCUGUAAUCCCAGCACUUUGGGAGGCUGAGGGGGGCAGAUCACCUGAAGUUAGGAGCUCGAGACCAGUCUGGCCAACAUGGUGAAACCCCGUCUCUACUAAAAAUAAUUAGCCAGGCGAGGUGGCGUGCACCUGUAAUCCCAGCUACUCAAGGAGGCUGAGGCAGGAGAAUAGCUUGAACCCGGGAGGCAGAGUUUGCAGUGAGCUGAGAUCGCGCCAUUGCACUCCAGUGAGCCGAGAUCGCACCAUUGCACUCCAGCCUGGGCAACAAGAGCGAAACUCCAUCUCAAAAAAAAAAUUUUUUUUGAAAAAUAGGCCAGGCCUGCCUCAGUGCUCUUACACGUACUGUCCCCUCUGCCUGGAUCAGUUUGUGCCCCUGCCCCCAAAUUUUCAGGGCUGGCUCCCUCGCCUCCUUCAGAUCUCUGUUUGAAGUUCAGCUCAUGUCUGCCACAUGUCCUAACCACCGUAUUUAAAAUAGCAGCCUCAGGCCAGGUGCGGUGGCUCACGUCUGUAAUCCCAGCACUUUGGGAGGCCAAAGCAGGCAGAUCACCUGAGGUUGGGAGUUCGAGACCAGCCUGACCAACGUGGAGAAACCACAUCUCUACUAAAAAUACAAAAUUAGCCGGGCGUGGUGGAGCAUGCCUGUAAUCCCAGCGACUCUGUCUCAAAAUAAAAUAAAAUAAAAUAAAUAAAAUAAAAUAAAAUAAAAUAAAAUAAAAUAUAAAAUAAAAUAAAAUAAAAUAAAAUAUAGCAGCCUCUCACCCCACUCCACCUCUGGACUCCCUGUCCCCCUUCCUUGCUGUAUUUUUCUCCAUAGCAAUUACCACCACCAGCUGCCACACUCCAGAGAUUACCGUUCGUUUGUCUAUUGUCUGUCUCCCCCUGCUCACACCACCCCCAUUCGUGUGUGAGCUCCAGGAGAAGGGCCGGGGUUGCUGCUGCUCUUGCAUUGAGAGAUGACAGUAGCUCGGCCUCUUAGAGCAGUAUGACGAUGGCACAAGUUACUAUUUGCCAAGCACAGAGCAUGACGUCAUGCCCAGAAGCCCAGGAUACAAUCCAGAGACAAUGACAAAUGGGGGAUUCCCGCUUCUGCAGAAGGUGGGGCGACUGGUGCCCAGGGGCCCCCAGGAAGUGCCCUUACCUGACUCCCAGGAUCCUCCUCUGUGACCCUGGGGCCUUCCAACCUGCCAGGUACUUUUCCUGUAUUAUCUUAUUUUAUCCUCCCAAUAGCCUCUGUGAGCAGCACACUCCCCAUUUCACAGACAAGGAAACUGAGGCUUACACAAGUGAAGUGACCUGCUCGACGUUGCACAAGGAAGUGGCAAAGUCAGCCUCUGAAUCCAAGCCGUUGGGCUCUAAAGGCCCUGAUGCCACUCAGCUAACCAUGUGGCCUCUGGACAUCACUGCCAUCUUUUCUCUUACCCUCCUCUCCUCCUUGCACUGUGUUCUGAGGGUCAGCCUGACAACCCGUGUCCCCUGGGCAGAUGUGCAGAGGAAGAUCAAGUUGUUGUUCGCCAGGGGCCGAGGGCAAAUUUCUGGCUUCCCACGGCCACCACUUACUGGGAGUUUCGGAUGAGGUGCUUCACUGCCCUGAGCUCUUCUUCCGGGUCAAGUGGGGAUAAAAAUAAAACAAUACCCACCUUGUGGGAAGACAUGGGAUCCUGAAAAACCUGGCAACGUGCCUGGCACAUGGCAAGUACUCCGUAAAUGUCAGCUAGGAUUAUUUUUAUCAUUGACACCAUAUUUGGGGGCCCCAGGCUGGCAGAGUACCUGCCAGGUGUCACCCCCUUCCUGAGUCCUGACAGUUUGGCUGCAGGCCUGCGUGGAGGCUUGGAAGGAAGAAGGGAGGAAAGGAGGAAAGGAGGAAAGGAGGAAGGGGUCAGGGAAGCCCCUCUGUUUGUUUUCUGUCUCUGAGAACUUCCCAGUCUGACUCUAGCCCCUUCCCCUCCCUGCAGGCACUAACACACAAGUCCCCCAUUCACCAGAAAUCUGUCCCAGGCUCCCUGGCUGCCAUGCUCCCUGGAUAAACCCACCAGGAUGCCCUCAGCCCCUGAGGGAAGAGGAGAGAGCUUACACUCCUCCGGGCCCCUAUUUCCACGCCCAUCACCAGGCCUGGGCCCUCACAAGGCUACACACACACCAGGAAGUGCCAGGAACACAGCCACGCCAGAGCUCUCACAGAUGCCUGUGCACACACACACACACACACACACACCUUUCCAGGCAAACUUGCAUACACUUUCCUAAUGGCCAGGUCUCAGGGGCUCUGUAGGGACCACCUCGGGACAGGACAUGGUCUUCCCUCCCCCAUUCCCAUUCCCCUUCCUGCCCUGUUUCCCUCUGUCUGUCCAUCCAUCUUCAUCAACCAGUCCCAGUGGGCCCCUGCUCACUCCCUCCGUUCCCCCUCCAUCCGUCCGUCCACACAUGGGUCCAUCUGUCUGUCGCCUGCCUGUAGCUAGCCCUGCAGUGAGCAGUCUAUCCCUACCCAGCCCUGCCCAUCACUUCUGCCACAACACCCCUGCAAGAUCCUGUCCCUGUCCUCAGCAGGGUCUCUCAUCAUUUCUCUAGAACCCACCCAUCUAUCCCCCCACCCCUUCAGCUGUGUCCUUCAUCUGUCAAUCUGUCCAUCCAUCCAGCCAUCCAUCCAUCCAUCCAUCCAUCCAUCCAUCCAUCCAGCCAUCCAUCCAUCCAUCCAGCCAUCCAUCCAUCCAUCCAGCCAUCCAUCCUUCCUUCCUUCCUUCUUCCUUCCUUCCCACCUUGGCCCAGCCCCUCUCAGCCCCCUCUGCAUCCCAUCCAUCACUUCUCAGACAGGCCUCCCCAGCCAGGUAGUCACCUCCUAGCGGCUCCAUCUGUCUGUCUGUCUACCAACCCAUCCAUCCAUCUGUCUGCCAGCCCAUCCAUCAUGCCACAGGCCACUUGUCCAUUCUUGCCACCUUUCACAUGUUCCCUAGUUAGGCCCCUGUGGUAUCCCCCAGCCAGCGCAGUGUAGGUGGGGGGCGUGUGUUCAUGUCAGUAGAUAUGUCUGUGGCCGCCAGCAUGCCUUGUGCUGAGCAGAGGGCAAGGGACCUGGAUGAGGAGCUGGGGAGGGGUUGGGGACAGGAAGACUGGGAACCUCUUGGUGGGGGGCACAGCAGCUUCCCUGUGUAUUCUCCCUGUGGUCUGUUGCACCAUAGGCAUCAAUGGCCUGCUCAAAAAUAAAUACACGACUGGAAAACUCUCCCACCUCCAUUCUUUUUCCUUUUUGGGGGGGUGGUGGGGACAGAGUCUUGCUUUGUCCUCCAGGCUGGAGUGCAGUGGCACGAUCUCAGCCCACUGCAACCUCCACCUCCUGAGUUCAAGCAGUUCUCCUGUCUCAGCCUCCCAAGUUGCUGGGAUUACAGGCCUGCGCCACCACGCCUGGCUAAUUUUUGUUUUUUGGUUUUGUUUUUUCUUUUCCGGGAUGGAGUCUUGCUCUGUCACCCAGGCUGGAGUGCAAUGGCCGGAUCUUGGCUCACUACAACCUCCGCCUCCCGGAUUCAAGUGAUUCUCCUGCCUCAGCCUCCCAAGUAGCUGGUAUUACAGGCACGCGCCACCACGCCUGGUUAAUUUUUGUAUUUUUAGCAGAGAUGGGGUUUCACCAUUUUGGCCAGGCUGGUCUCGAACUCCUGACCUCAGGUGAUCCACCUGCCUCUGCCUCCCAAAAUGCUGGGAUUACCGGCAUGAGCCACUGUGCCCGGCUUCCGUUCUUCCUGAUUACUUAAGAGGGGCCUGACUAAUGCCCAGCAUGGUUGGGGACCCAGGCCCCUCAAGCCCUGGAAGUCCCUUGCCUGGGGUCAUCCAGUCUCCUCCCUCAAAGGGCUCUCACUCCCCACCGCCGCUCCCUCUCCUCUUCCUGCUGCUGAGAGACGAGAGACCAGCAGAAAGAGACUUGGAGAGACGGAGACACAGAGGCAGAUGGAGAAUGCUGGGCGCCCGGGAAAGCCCAGGAAGGAGCCCGGGCCACGUGGAGGAGAGGCAGGUGGGAGGAGGCAGGAGAGAGCAAGGCUGCCCAGGACAAUGGAGCGGGACCGGAGGAGACGCGGGGAGGGACGCGGGCCAGGGGUGCGGUGGGGGGCACGGGGUGGAACUCCGGGUCCCGUAGGGCGGGGUGGGGGAGUGGGUGGGGGGAUGGCCCACCUGCCGUGGGAGCGGGUCCGGAGGAAGCUAGGGUCUCGGGGUGGGAAGUGCUGUGUAGAAGCGAGCGCAAGAGGCGAGAGGAAGCGCGGCGGGGCGGCCCCUGUCCCAGCCUCACCCCCAUCCCCCCAAGUCUCGCACCCCGGUCCGCCCCAGCUUCCGGCUCCGCAGGUGCCGCCUUUGAGGGCCGCCGCUCGCAGUUUACCGCGGAGCCGGAGCCAGAGCCCCUUCCCCGCGGCGAGGAACUGCCUCUGCGUCUCGUAAAAGGGGUCUGGGCCUGGGGGGCGGCGGCCUCCGUCGCCAUGGAAACCGGGGCGGGGAGGCGGCGGCCCGGAGAGCCCCAUGCACUUUGCAUACCAUUGCAGGUUCCUCCCCUUGGGCCCCGCCAGCCUCGCUGGGCCCGCCUCUCUCUCCGCCCCUCCUCCCCAAACCCAUCACCCUUGCCUUUAUUUGUCUUAAAUUUAUUUUAAAAUGUAUUUAUUUAUUUUUUUCAAACAGGAUCUCGCUCUGUCACCCAGGCCAGAGUGCAGUGGUGCGAUCAUGACUCUCUACAGCCUUCCAUCUCCCCAGGCUCAGGUGAUCCUCCCACCCCAGUUUCCCAAUAGCUGGGACCACCACGCCUGGCUAAUUUUGUGUGUGUGUGUGGUGAUGUCGCCCUCUGUCACCCAGGCUGGAGUGCCGUGGCCAGAUCUUGGCCCACUGCAACCUCCGCCUCCCAGGUUCAAGCAAUUCUCCUGCCUUAGCCUCCUGAGUAGCUGGGAUUACAGGCGCGUGCCAUCACACCCGGCUAAUUUUUUUGGUAUUUUUAGUAGAGACGGGGUUUCACCACGUUGACCAGGCUGAUCUCAAACUCCUGACCUCGUGAUCUGCCUGCCUCAGCCUCCCAAAGUGCUGAGAUUACAGGCGUGAGCCACCGUGCCUGGCAAUGCCCGGCAAUUUUUGUAUUAUAGAGACAGGGUCUUGCCAUGUUGCCCAGGCUGGUGUUAAACUCCUGGACUCAAACAACCUGCCCACCUCCGCCUCCCAAAGUGUUAGGAUUACAGGCAUGAGCCACUGCACUCGGCCACCCCUGCCUUUAAAAGUCACCUCCUCCAGGAAGCUUUCAGCCACCACCACCACGCCCGGUGGCACCACUGACACUUCAUAACAAUAAUAAUUCAUCAUCACUGUGAUCGUGGCUAGGCUUGGCUGAGCUUUGUCUCUGUGCUUCCUUCACCCCCAUCUUCUUCUGUCCUCAUACCAACCCUGUAUGGAGAGGCCACUUUUGUCGAUAUUUACAAAUGAGAAAACUAAAGCUGGUAGGGGGUCUGCUCAAGGUCUCACACCUGGAAAAUUCCCUCCUCAUUCUAGUCUCAGUGUUCUCAUUUGUAAAAAGGGAAGCUCGCACCAGGCGCUUGCCGAGUGACCACGCAAGGGUGGGAAUGAGACCGCAGGUUUGUCUGAGCAGGGGCUGAGUGUGGCAUUCUGACUCUGAAGGCCUGUAGUCAGGGUAUGCAUGCUCUAGUUCACCUCAGCCCGGCUGCGUCACACCCCCACUCUGUCCCCCAGUGCAUCCCCACCCUUGGGACCCUAAGUGAAUCUCUCCAGACCAAGCUCCUAGUGACUCAAGAGACAUCUCUAAGGGGUCUUCCAGCUCUGCCAUUCUGAAGUCUUAGCUUAUUGAGAGGGUGACUCCUUGUGCUGUCUCCCUCCUCUGACUGGAUGCUCCUGGGGGUGAGGGGCUGUGCCUCUCCUGUCAGACGGGACACUGCUAAGGGUUAGGACACCUCUGUCACUCCCCUAGGUCUGUGGUCACUAGAAAUGCCCAAAUCCAGGCUGAAGGCUGACCAUGUCUCUCCAAGCACAAGCACACCCCAAGGUGCCCCAGUCCCUUGUCCUGAUCCUGAGAUCUGAGGUCUACAGGACUGGGUUCUUGGUGGGGAAACCUCCAGCUCUGCCAUAAAAAGAAAGCCUCAUCCCAGACCUUCAGACCCGUUCCAGCACAGGCUCAGAAGAGGAGAAAUGGGCCCAGAGACAACUUCCAGGG
rnacentral:lncRNA from 1 species